UUGAAGUGAUGUAUUCAAGUCUCUUCACCAACAACUUUUCAACUUUAUCUUACACCUUUUUUGGAUCUAUGUUAUACUUUAUAUUGAUUAAGAGAUGUCAAGAUGUGAAGAACAACAAGAUCUCAACAACAAUUUCUCAAGAACACCACCAACAUUCACCUCCAAGUCCACAACAAUUGCAAUACACGGCCAAGAUCAACAAUAUCAACACACGACCAACUUCCAAUUUACAUCAACAAGGUCAACAACAUAAGCUCAAACCUUUAGAUUUAGACACUUUAGUGUUGGUGAGAAAGAAACCAACACUAGAAACUAUCUAAACAAACAAAAGACUACGAGAUCUAGCCACAAAGAAACAUGUCUCGGCCAAAAACAAGAACAACUUCUACACUUUUUUUUUUGUAUUUUUAAGCUAGCCAGCCCAAGAUUGAUCUUGUGAAAACAAAAUCAAGUCAUGCUUUGAUACCAAAUGAUACAAGAUCGACAAGGAAGACACUAACACACACCAAAACAGUCCAUGAUUUGAAGAACCGAGGAUCCCUUUUGGUGAUCCCUCUCGGAUUCACUACACAAUAACAAUACAAGCAUGAUAACAAUAAGAUUCUAAGGUGUUUAACACCUAUAAUCAGCGAGCCACAAACUAAGAUUACAACACAAUAACAAAAACAAAAAUGACACAACAAGAUCUCAGGUUUGGACGCCCAAAACCAAGAAUGAACACAACAACAAUAAUAAGAUAGAAUGAUAGAUAACUUGACACACAAUGCACAAACACUAUGAACCAAAGUGUAUAUUGAACACUAAGACCCA
rnacentral:lncRNA from 1 species